UACGUAGGGGGCAAGCGUUGUCCGGAAUCAUUGGGCGUAAAGAGCGUGUAGGCGGUCCGUUAAGUCGGCUGUGAAAGUCCAGGGCUCAACCCUUGGAUGCCGGUCGAUACUGCCGGACUAGAGUUCGGAAGAGGCGAGUGGAAUUCCCGGUGUAGCGGUGAAAUGCGCAGAUAUCGGGAGGAACACCUAUGGCGAAGGCAGCUCGCUGGGACGUUACUGACGCUGAGACGCGAAAGCGUGGGGAGCAAACAGG
rnacentral:rRNA from 1 species